rnacentral:misc_RNA from 1 species
GCUUUGAUCCUAGACCUGAAAUCAGGAAGGGUGCCUUACAAGUGCUUUUUGAUGCUUUACGCAAUCAUGGCCACCUUUUUUCUCUACCUCUAUGGGAACGUGUAUUUGAGUCGGUACUGUUUCCAAUAUUUGACUAUGUAAGGCAUGCUAUUGAUCCUACUGGUGGUGACGCUCCUGGGCAGGAGAUUGAUAGUGAUGCUGGUGAACUUGAUCAGGAUGCAUGGCUUUAUG